GGGCUGGGGCCGGGCGGGCGGCGGAGCGGCCGGGUGAGCGCUGCCGGCGGCGGCCGCGGGGGGAUUUUUCCGCGGAGUGGAUGCGGGCUUUUUUUACUAUUUUUUACCAUUUGCCUGCCGGGGGGGAGUUUUUUAAAGCAAGCGGUCCGGGCGCUGCUCUGCCACCCUCCGCAGGGGGUCUAGGUGGGAGAGCGGGGCUCGCAGCCCCCCCCCGCAAAUCCAGCGCGGGGUGAUGCUCAGUGUGGGUCUGCGGGAGCGAAGCACAAAAGCUCUGUCUGAAGGAGAAGGCAGCACAGAGCGGACACGGUCCAAAGUAGCUGGGAGUCCGGUGCUGCCCUACAGCAGAAAUAACGCCCCGAUGGUCUGGUGUCCGGGCGGCAAUGGCAGAGAGAAGGCCGUUGUUGGUACAGGCAGAAGCUGUUUUGGACACCUGAAGAGGAACUGCCAAAAUUGUUUGCCUUGCCCACUGGAGUUACAUGCCACAGAAAUGACUUGCAGCUGGUGUUCGUGCUUUGAAGCCGUGUCAGAAGUGGCACGUUCUGCUCCUCCGUGGAAGUUUAUGAGAGCGGGCUGAGAUUUCUGACAUAGCUCAAGGUGUGGUAAUGCUUGGGGAAGAUUACAGACCUGCAUUUUAAAUCCUGACUCAGGUGUUUUCAAUGACAUGUUUUGAAUGUCUCAAGACACACAAAGGGGCCUGUUCAUUGCACUGAGUGGCAUAAGUAUCUGCCCUCGAAAAAUCCGGCCUCUUUUAAGUUUAAAUAGAUCUAUCAUGUUUUUAAUUGCUCAGAAAGUAGAAGAGCAAGUCUAGGGAGUAAAGCAGGAUGAGGAGGAAAGGCUUGGGAACCAUCGCGAGAGCUGCACGCACCUUUACAGAGCCUGUUUGCUGUUCGCCAAUGCCAAGUGCAUCUACCAGCACCUCUCAGCACAGGGUGUAAAUGGAGCUUUCAGCAAUUUUGGUGCCCUUUGGUACAGGAUAGUCACACAGAAAUUGGGCUUCGUGCCUCUGCACACCCGAAAGGGGUGCAACCGCAACCUGGAGUGCUGCUUUCCUUUCAUAAAACCCGUAUUCUAAAGUUAAAGAGCGUGGAAGCACUUGCAAACGCAGCAUCUCAUCCACACCACAUUCUGCGCUCAUCUCCCUCUCCCAGUUGUUUUAUGGGCUUUGCUCACACCAAACCCUGUAAGAUCUGUGAAAAAUUACAUCCUCGUUGCCUUUCCUCAAGUCCCAUAAGCAUCUCCAUGAAAAGAGCCCCUUCCCAAAGUACUGCUUGAAAUUCUCAUGUCAGCGUCUCCCCUGCAGCCAGCGGUGAGCUGAACCCUUGGAAUACCGUGGAGAUUUUGGUGGCCACAGCUGGGAUGCGCAGGGGUGCAGCCAGACACUCCUCUCGAGUGGUGCUGGAGCAGCUGAAAGCUCGUCAGCUGCCCUGCGCUGCUCCCGGAGUGACGGUGACAUCCAGCAGCAGAGCUGUGUUCCCAGCAUCGGGGUUUUUAGUCCUUUCCUCUGCAAAGUCCGUUGGAUUAUCUCAAGUUGUGCUGGAGGCUGCUAGAGCCGACAUUGCCGAUAUUGCACGGGAACAAAUUAUGGGAGACUCGGUGGCUCUGUUCUGGCAACUCGGACAUCUUACUCAUCAUUUUGCCAGGGAUUACUAGAUAAAUAAACUAAUUGGUGAGGUUGUCUCAUUGUCUUGACUUUUCCAUGGGUGUUUUGAUCUGGAAGCAACACAAGGAGGGUGCUUGGCUGCUCUUGGGCAGGGAUGAGUGAGUGGUGGAGCGAUGCUGAGAUGCCUCAAUAGGACAUAAUUUCAUCAUCAAGUCAACUUUACUGAAAUUUUGAAGCAAGUUUUUAAUAUGUACUUUUAAAGCAAGUGGAAAAAAAAACCACAGCAGCAUAGGCGCAAACAGAUGCCCAGAAAACAUCCGCAUGGUGGUUUCAGGCCUUGUGGGCAGUAAAGCAGUUGGACACUUGGAAUCCAGGGACUAUAUAGCAUGAAGAGAUUUGCUGCUGGCUGCAAGCUCAUGGGAGAGAGUGGGAUUUUUCAGGAGUAUUUAAAUGCCCCAGGAGGAGACAUCUGUCCAACAGUGACAUCCUGGAGUGGGCGCCUGGAGAGUCUGCGCCUUCCCUUUGGGCAGGGCCGGCUCACGCCACCAAGCUCCCCUGGUCCCACCUCUGCUGUGGGGCUCAGAACAGGCUCAGGCUCCAUCACCAGCACAGGGGGAAGGAUUACUGGCAGUUUUUGAGCUUCCCCGCUUUUCUUGCCAUUUUGUAGUGUUUGUCCUGUAUAUUUCCUCUGCAGUGGUGUGUACAAAGUCCUAUUUGAUGAUGCCCUGUCGCUUUAGGCACAUUGUCCCUGUAGUUAUUUCCAUGCCAGUGUACAGAAGCAAACCAAGUUAUCUUUUUUCCCCUUGACCAUAUCUACUCUCUAAGUAAGUGUUUGCAAAGAAGUUAUCUACAAAACCAACCUUGAAACAACAGGGAUGGCUGAGCUGCAGCAAGAGAGGAGGCAGCAGACGACAGCGCACGUCCCUUCCAGUUUCCCCUGCAACGCCACAUUUCCCUAUUGCAGUACCUGUCCCAUUUGGGGCCUGUUUUUGUUGGCACAAACAAAACACACAGACAAACCAGCACCCGUCAGCCCAUGGCUAUCCUAAGGGAACUCCACAGUAAAUGCACAAAAGUGGUAGUUCAAACGCUGUAACAAAAUGCCCAAAUAAACCCAAACCCAGAGGAAUAGUGAGAUGUGCCGUUUGAAGCAGCGCAUUGAAGGAUGUAAACACCAUUUUUAAUUUAAAAAGGUUAAAGUCACAAAAGGUGACUGGUUUAAAAGGGCCUUUCAUGUAGCAAAUUAGUUUAAAGAAUUAGUUAAAGAACUAAUUUUAUAGUCACAACUCUUAUGCAUUUUGCGUUUAUCAGUCCAUAUAUAUACCUUCUCACUUAAACACUUCUGCCCAGCCUUAUAUUUUGGCACGCAGUCUAAUGCCAUGCACCACAUCAACAUGAAGAAGUUAAUUCAUUGUGUAUCAGUGUCAUACUGACAUUAAAAUUUUGCAUUUAUUGUGAGUCACCAAAAUCUGCACAGGAUACACAGACAAAACCUGAGCUUUGACCAUCCUAUCAAGUCUCAAUAAAAAAUUAUCAGUUUUGCUUACAAGAUUUUAAA